UACGUAGGGGGCUAGCGUUGUCCGGAAUUACUGGGCGUAAAGCGCGUGUAGGCGGUUGUUCAAGUCGGGUUGUGAAAGCCUUGAGCUCAACUCAAGAAAUGCACUCGAUACUGGAUGACUUGAGGACCGGAGAGGAUAGUGGAAUUCCCAGUGAUAGUGGUGAAAUACGUAGAGAUUGGGAAGAACACCAGUGGCGAAAGGCGGCUAUCUGGACGGUUUCUGACGC
rnacentral:rRNA from 1 species